UGGGAAAAGAAUCUAAAAAAGAGUGGAUUAUCUAUAUAUGUGUAGGUGAUCCACUUUGCUGUACAGCACAAAACACUGUAAAUCAACUCUACUCCAAUAAAAAUUAAUUUACAAAACAAAAUUAAAUUUAAAAAUUUUUUAAAAAUCAACAUUUGUUGAAUGAAUGAAUCAAGCUGUACUACCACACAGAUUUGAAUCUACUGCUGUCUACCUUAGGUAGGACUCACUGCCUUCCAGUCAAGAGAGAGGUGCCUCAUAGCUGUGUUAUCGCCAGUCCCAUAGUACUUGUAUUCUACAGACCUCUUUUCAUAAGUUCUUGCCAAAUUCCCUUCUUCUGUGAUUAAGCAAAGUGCAAACAUAUCAUUUCGUCACUUGGCAACUUUAGGAUAAAUCUCCGAGAGUGUAAACCAAUGUUCUACCAAUCUCAAAAGUGAGAAAGGAUUGUGUUUUCUUUAUAGAUGGUUCUGUGCAGAUAUAAUCUGAAGAUAGCUGCUAGUAUGCAUUUUUGUAAUCCACCUUUAUAUGAUAUGACAAGUGCUUUCAUUAGCUCAAUCACUGUUUAGUAAAAAAAAUAUUCAAUCUUCUGGACUCCUAGCAACAGAAGGAUUGCAAAGGAAUGUUCUAUAUUGCUACUAUGAGUCAUGGUGAAAUCACUGGUAACUAAGUGGCCCAUAUUUUGGCUCUUACAGGGUCAAUGAGAGACAUCAACUCAGCCAGUAGCAGGACACCAGAUGACCUCACCCCUGUCUACUUGGAGACCAGAGAGAUUCCUCCCAAGCCUUCAGAUGCUGACAAAAGCCCUGAGGUGCUCUGCAGUGGAAGAGUAUUCAGGGUUAUCUCCUCUGCCAUGUUGCCAGAAGUGGUCCCAUCCAUCAUCUCUAGACCUCCUCUCACUACCUUCCGCCCCACGCUCCAGAGUUGCUGGCAUCCUGCCUACGGUUCUGUCUCCACUCCAAGCCUUCUCAUCAUCCUGGGCCAUGUCAGCACAGAUGUGGGCGACCCAUCCAAUAUCUCAGCCUCUCAAUCCCUCCUCACUUUUAAUGAUUAAUGAUCUUUAUUUUCACCUUCUUUCAGUCACCUACUAUGGCCUUUUCCACCACAUCAGUGACACCACCUUUACAAAUGUGAAUUCCAUCAUGUUCCUCUUGAACCAUGAUCUCUUAUAUUUCCAGUCCUCUCAUGCAGUUACUUCCUUGACAUUUCCUCCAGUCUUCCCUUUCCUUCCUGUCCUGUUUACAUACUAGAGUCCAUAAUUUACACUCAGUCCACCCACUUUGCCCAGACACAUUUCAGGGGCACCUGCCUGAACAACAACAAACUUGGAGAAAUGCAAGUCUGCCUUUUUCAUACUUUCCCCUUGAGCUUAUGCAAAAAUCCACAUAAACUAUGUACAUGGUGCCUCUUAUAUUCAAGUUCUGUGUCUAUCUAAACUGCUCCGCAAUGCUUUCAGGUCUCUAUCAUUCUGUCUGCCAUGAUACACAAUCAUCAUUGCAGGGCUUCUCCAGGAAACCGUGACUCUCUCCACAGCCCCUGACAAAAGAAUUGUCCCCCUACUUCACAGGAGAAACGGACGCCAUCAGAGAACUCCUCAGCCUUCCUGCCACCAAAUUUCUACCUUACCCCACUGUGGCAGGCAGGCAGCCUUGUAAUGGCCCUGCUUCCCGAGAUUCACACUCCUGUACAGUCACCUUCCUUUGAGUGAGGGCUGGGCCAAAUGACUCCAUUGUAACAGAGUUCAGCAGAAGUGACUGGAUACGUCACUUCUGAGGGUGAUAACAGACAGUGACCUUCACCUUGCUGGCCCUCUCUUGCUCUCUCUCGGUUUCACUCUGCCACGUUUCAAGCUGCCCUGUGCAGAGGCCGAUGGGGCAAGAAACAGGGGCAGAGCGCCAGCCAGCGAGCACCCAGGACCUGGGAUCCUCAGUCCAAUGGCUCCCCAAGGCCAAAACCCUGCCAACAGCCUGCUGAGUGAGCUUGAAAGCAGAUCCUUCGUGAAUUGAGGGUGGAGAUGCUACAGUCCCGGUACAUACCUGGACUGCAAUUUCAGAGACUGUCUGAGUCAGAGGACUCAGCUAAGAUGCCUGGAUUCCUGACCACAGAUAUAAUCACUGCAUUGUUGGAGGCAGCUACAUCUUGGGGUAAUUUGUUGUCACACAGCAACAGGUGAGGAAUACACACGCCCACUCAGCCUUCCUGCCCUUGUGGCAGUGGGAAGGCUGCAUCUCCCAGCCUGGGAACAUUCCACCACCAGGUGGAGAGGCCCUUUUCCUUCUCCUGCUCCCAGGUCCUAGUCUGUCCCCCACAGACUAGGACCUCCUCCUUCUCAUCACACGUGUCUACACGCCUCCUUUAAGAGUAGAACCUUAAAGGAGCCAGGAGCCACGCUGCUCUGGCUCAUCGUUGGGCCCUCAGUUCCCACCACCAUUCUUUGAACAUGAAAG
rnacentral:lncRNA from 1 species